AGUUCCCUGGAACGGGACGCCAGAGAGGGUGAGAGCCCCGUACGGUCGGACGCCUAGCCUCUGUGAAGCUCCUUCGACGAGUCGAGUAGUUUGGGAAUGCUGCUCAAAAUGGGAGGUAUAUGUCUUCUAAAGCUAAAUAUUGGCCAGAGACCGAUAGCGCACAAGUAGAGUGAUCGAAAGAUGAAAAGCACUUUGGAAAGAGAGUUAAACAGUAUGUGAAAUUGUUAAA
rnacentral:rRNA from 1 species